UACGUGAAACCGUUUAGGAGUAAACCUGAGAAACCCGAAAGGUCGAAGGGAGAAAUUCAUUCGCGUCUCGACGCGGGCGUCGGACGGUGUUGUGCGACGGAAAGCGCGUUCGCGCGCUUUUCGCGCCCUCCGUUCGACGAACCCGCGACGAACGCGUGCACUUUUCUCCUGGUAGGACGUCGUGAUCCGUUGGGCGUCGGUCUACGGCCCGCGGUGGAGCUCGUUCGUACGUUUCGCGACGUACGGGCGGACCCGCGGUGUCCCGGCCGACUCGCUCGACGGUAACAGAAUGGUUGGAGGCCGCUCGUUUAGUAGCGUUCGGCUCGCGGCAAGCGCGCCAGAUGCGUCGGCGAUCGGACCUAGUGCCGAUUCCGACCUCCGGUGACUGUUGGCCGCGACGUUCUCGAACAGACCUUCUACAAAACCGAUCUGCGACGCUAUAGCUUUGGGUAAUUUCAGGACCCGUCUUGAAACACGGACCAAGGAGUCUAGCAUGUACGCGAGUCAUUGGGA
rnacentral:rRNA from 1 species